UAAUACCAGCGCCACGAGUGGGGAUCGUAUUUAUUUGGCCUAAAGCGCCCGUAGCCGGGCUGCUAAAUCUUUUGUGAAAUCGUUGUGCUUAACACAACGGCGUGCAGAAGACACUAGUAGCCUAGGGACUGGGAGGCGUCAGAUGUAUGCUAAGGGGAGCAGUAAAAUGCUAUAAUCCUUGGUAGACAACCGGUGGCGAAGGCGUCUGACGAGAACAGGUCCGACGGUCAGGGACGAAAGCUAGGGGAGCAAACCGGAUUAGAUACCCGAGUAGUCCUAGCUGUAAACGCUGCGAGCAAGGUGUUGCAUAUCCUCCGUGGAUAUGCAGUGUCGAAGCGAAGGCGUUAGGCUCGCUGCCUGGGGAGUACGGUCGCAAGACUG
rnacentral:rRNA from 1 species